AUUGAACGCUGGCGGCAGGCUUAACACAUGCAAGUCGAGCGGAAACGAAGAUAGCUUGCUAUCAGGCGUCGAGCGGCGGACGGGUGAGUAACGCGUAGGAAUCUACCUAGUAGUGGGGGACAACCUGGUGAAAACCAGGCUAAUACCGCAUACGCCCUUUGGGGGAAAGAUUUAUCGGAGAAGGAUCGGCCCGCGUAAGAUUAGAUAGUUGGUGGGGUAAUGGCCUACCAAGUCUACGAUCUUUAGCUGGUUUUAGAGGAUGAUCAGCAACACUGGGACUGAGACACGGCCCAG
rnacentral:rRNA from 1 species